rnacentral:rRNA from 1 species
UACAAGAUGGACCUGCGUUGUAUUAGCUAGUAGGUGAGGUAAUGGCUCACCUAGGCGACGAUACAUAGCCGACCUGAGAGGGUGAUCGGCCACACUGGGACUGAGACACGGCCCAGACUCCUACGGGAGGCAGCAGUAGGGAAUCUUCGGCAAUGGGGGCAACCCUGACCGAGCAACGCCGCGUGAGUGAAGAAGGUUUUCGGAUCGUAAAGCUCUGUUGUAAGUCAAGAACGGGUGUGAGAGUGGAAAGUUCACACUGUGACGGUAGCUUACCAGAAAGGGACGGCUAACUACGUGCCAGCAGCCGCGGUAAUACGUAGGUCCCGAGCGUUGUCCGGAUUUAUUGGGCGUAAAGCGAGCGCAGGCGGUUUGAUAAGUCUGAAGUUAAAGGCUGUGGCUCAACCAUAGUUCGCUUUGGAAACUGUCAAACUUGAGUGCAGAAGGGGAGAGUGGAAUUCCAUGUGUAGCGGUGAAAUGCGUAGAUAUAUGGAGGAACACCGGUGGCGAAAGCGGCUCUCUGGUCUGUAACUGACGCUGAGGCUCGAAAGCGUGGGGAGCGAACAGGAUUAGAUACCCUGGUAGUCCACGCCGUAAACGAUGAGUGCUAGGUGUUGGAUCCUUUCCGGGAUUCAGUGCCGCAGCUAACGCAUUAAGCACUCCGCCUGGGGAGUACGACCGCAAGGUUGAAACUCAAAGGAAUUGACGGGGGCCCGCACAAGCGGUGGAGCAUGUGGUUUAAUUCGAAGCAACGCGAAGAACCUUACCAGGUCUUGACAUCCCGAUGCUAUUUCUAGAGAUAGAAAGUUACUUCGGUACAUCGGUGACAGGUGGUGCAUGGUUGUCGUCAGCUCGUGUCGUGAGAUGUUGGGUUAAGUCCCGCAACGAGCGCAACCCUUAUUGUUAGUUGCCAUCAUUCAGUUGGGCACUCUAGCGAGACUGCCGGUAAUAAACCGGAGGAAGGUGGGGAUGACGUCAAAUCAUCAUGCCCCUUAUGACCUGGGCUACACACGUGCUACAAUGGUUGGUACAACGAGUUGCGAGUCGGUGACGGCGAGCUAAUCUCUUAAAGCCAAUCUCAGUUCGGAUUGUAGGCUGCAACUCGCCUACAUGAAGUCGGAAUCGCUAGUAAUCGCGGAUCAGCACGCCGCGGUGAAUACGUUCCCGGGCCUUGUACACACCGCCCGUCACACCACGAGAGUUUGUAACACCCGAAGUCGGUGAGGUAACC